UACGUAGGGGGCAAGCGUUGUCCGGAAUCAUUGGGCGUAAAGCGUGCGUAGUCGGUUAUCUAAGUCGGAUGUGAAAUCCCCGGGCUCAACCUGGGAAUUGCAUUCGAUACUGGAUAGCUAGAGUUCGGCAGAGGGAAGUGGAAUUUCGGGUGUAGCGGUGAAAUGCGUAGAUAUCCGAAGGAACAUCAGUGGCGAAAGCGACUUCCUGGACCAGAACUGACGAUCAGGCACGAAAGCGUGGGGAGCAAACAGG
rnacentral:rRNA from 1 species